GACGAACGCUGGCGGCGUGCCUAAUACAUGCAAGUAGGACGCAGUUGCGAACGGGUGAGUAACGCGUAGGUAACUACCUAUUAGAGGGGGAUAACUAUUGGAAACGAUAGCUAAUACCGCAUACUAGUAGAUGGACCUGCGUUGUAUUAGCUAGUAGGUAGGGUAAUGGGCGACCUAGGCAACGAUACAUAGCCGAGCUGGGAGGGUGAGCGGCCAAACGGGGAAUGAGAAAAGGGCCAGACUGCUACGGGAGGCAGCAGUAGGGAAGCUUCGGCAAUGGGGGGAACCCUGACCGAGCAAAGCCGCGGGAGUGAAGGAGGUUUUCGGAUCGGAAAGCUCUGUUGUUAAGGAAGCGGUACUUAACCAGAAAGGGACGGCUAACUACGUGCCAGCCGCCGCGGUAAUAC
rnacentral:rRNA from 1 species